ACUGUAUUGUAAUUGAACAUCCACAUUACUUUUUGACAAAUAUUUUCAAAAAAUUUCAUUGAGGCUAUUGGGAAGACACUAGCUACGCUCACUUCCGUUACAUUUAUCGGAACUGGUCGCUCAAACGCGUGCGCUGACCUUCUGCAUUCACUUCAGGCAGCAGCACGGAAAAUGGCUUCUUGACUUUCCAGCCAUGAUUAAUACAUGAAGGCAUCACCUGCACAGGCAAACGGGACAACAUUUACACAGGUCCUGUCUGUCCUCAUCUCUGAUUACCGGCACGGUGUCAAGAAUCAGCUGCAUCUGUUCCAGUGCAUGAGCUCCUAUGAAUGGAACAGUCCCACAAAUCAGAGCACAGCAAAGACGUUACCUGCAAAGAGCAUGCGUCCAGUGAGCAUCUCAGCCAGGAUACAGCCCGCAGCCCACAUGUCUAUCGCCUUUGUGUAGUUGUUCGGGGACAGCAGCAGACGAGGAG